rnacentral:siRNA from 1 species
CGAGGUUGCGAUGCGCAAUUUC